rnacentral:rRNA from 1 species
AUGCCUUUUGGUUUAUGCAAUGCACCUGCUACCUUUCAAAGAUGUAUGACUGCUAUAUUCUCUGAUUUUUGUGAAAAGAUUAUUGAGGUUUUCAUGGAUGAUAUUUCUAUUUACAUAACUUCUUUCGAUGAUUGCUUAAGCAACCUUAAUCAAGUUUGUCAAAGAUGUGAGCAAACUAAUCUUGUUUUGAAUUGGGAUAAGUGCCACUUUAUGGUUAAUGAUGGUAUUGUUUUGGGGCAUAAAAAUUCUAAACGAGGUAUUGAGGUGGAUAAAGCUAAUGUUGAUGCAAUUGAGAAAAUGCCACGUCCUAAAGAUAUUAAAGGUAUAUGUAGUUUCCUUGGUCAUGCGGGUUUCUACAGGAGGUUUAUUAAAGACUUCUCCAAAAUUUCUAGGCCUCUUACAAAUCUUUUACAAAAGUACGUUCCCUUUGUUUUUGAUGAUGAUUGUGUAGAAGCCUUUGAAACACUCAAGAAAGCCUUAACUUCUGCACCUAUAGUACAACCACCUGAUUGGAACCUGCCUUUUGAAAUUAUGUCUGAUGCUAGUGAUUAUGUUGUUGGUGUUGUUCUAGGACAAAGAGUUGAUAAAAAAUUAAAUGUUAUCCAUUAUGCUAGUAAAACUCUAGGCAGUGAUCAACAAAAUUAUGCUACUACCGAAAAAGAAUUUUUAGCAGUUGUGUUUGCUUGUGAUAAAUUCAGAUCUUAUAUUGUUGAUUCUAAAGUAACUGGUCACACCGAUCAUGCUACUAUAAAAUAUCUUAUGGAAAAGAAAGAUGCUAAACCUAGACUCAUUAGGUGGGUUCUCUUGCUACAAGAAUUUUAUUUACAUAUUAGUAAUAGAGAAGGAGCUGAGAACCCCGUAGCCGAUAACUUGGCUAGGUUAGAAAACGUUCUUGAUGACCCACUACCAAUUGAUGAUAGCUUUCCUGAUGAACAACUAGCUGCAAUAAAUGUCUCUCAUAACACUCCUUGGUAUGCUGACUAUGCUAAUUACAUUGUUGCUAAAUAUAUACCACCUAGUUUCACAUACCAACAAAAGAAAAAAUUCUUCUAUGAUUUAAGGCUUUACUUUUGGGAUGACCCACACCUCUAUAAAGAAGGGGUAGAUGGUAUUAUUAGACGUUGUGUGCCUGAGCAUGAACAGGAACAAAUCCUCCGGAAAUGUCACUCUGAAACUUAUGGAGGACAUCAUGCGGGAGAUAGAACUGCUCAUAAGGUUUACGGAGAUGUGGAACAUUAUGGUUGGACUACGGAGGAGGAAGAAGACUAUAAUCCUAAAGGGAAGGAAGAGACAAGCUCAGAUGAAGAUGAAGUUCCACUGCCCCAGCCGGGGGACAUGCAUGUGGAAUUCAAGAAGUCAAGUCUCCCCAAUAAAGCAAAGAAACCCAAGAUCCAGUUUAUCCCUUUCCAUCUUCUGCAGGAAAACAAGCAAGAAUUAUGCAAAAUGAUAUUGAUGUUGGAGCAGGAGAUUGAUGACUUGAGGGAGGAAAAUUCCAUCCUCAAGCGUAAGCUGAGGAGGAAGUGUGAAGCUACUACCUCAUCACCACCAUCACCAUCACCUUCUUCACCACCAAAGGAGACUUGA